rnacentral:tRNA from 1 species
GGGAAUAUAGCUCAGUUGGUAGAGUGCUUGCCUUGCAUGCACAGGUGCUGGGUUCAAUCCCCAGCCCA